rnacentral:rRNA from 1 species
UACGUAGGAUGCAAGCGUUAUCCGGAAUUAUUGGGCGUAAAGCGUCCGCAGGUGGCUAUGUAAGUCUGCUGUUAAAGAGUGAGGCUCAACCUCAUAAGAGCAGUGGAAACUACAUGGCUAGAGUGCGUUCGGGGCAGAGGGAAUUCCUGGUGUAGCGGUGAAAUGCGUAGAGAUCAGGAAGAACACCGGUGGCGAAAGCGCUCUGCUAGGCCGCAACUGACACUGAGGGACGAAAGCUAGGGGAGCGAAUGGG